rnacentral:rRNA from 1 species
GGAACGCGAAGAACCUUACCAUGUCUUGACAUCCUGCGACGAUGCUGGAAACAGUAUUUUCCUUCGGGACGCAGAGACAGGUGGUGCAUGGUUGUCGUCAGCUCGUGUCGUGAGAUGUUGGGUUAAGUCCCGCAACGAGCGCAACCCUUAUGGUCAGUUACUACGCAAGAGGACUCUGGCCAGACUGCCGUUGACAAAACGGAGGAAGGUGGGGAUGACGUCAAAUAAUCAUGCCCUUUAUGACUUGGGCUACACACGUACUACAAUGGCGUUAGACAAAGAGAAGCAAGACCGCGAGGUGGAGCAAAACUCAGAAACAACGUCCCAGUUCGGACUGCAUGUGCUGCAACUCGCCUGCACGAAGUCGGAAUUGCUAGUAAUCGCAGAUCAGCAUGCUGCGGUGAAUACGUUCCCGGGCCUUGUACACAC